rnacentral:rRNA from 1 species
ACGAUGAGCUGGAGCUUGCUCUGGUGGAUUAGUGGCGAACGGGUGAGUAACACGUGAGCAACCUGCCCCUGACUCUGGGAUAACAGCCGGAAACGGCUGCUAAUACCGGAUAUGCACCAUGAACGCAUGUUCUGUGGUGGGAAAGAUUUUUCGGUUGGGGAUGGGCUCGCGGCCUAUCAGCUUGUUGGUGAGGUAAUGGCUCACCAAGGCGUCGACGGGUAGCCGGCCUGAGAGGGUGACCGGCCACACUGGGACUGAGACACGGCCCAGACUCCUACGGGAGGCAGCAGUGGGGAAUAUUGCACAAUGGGCGAAAGCCUGAUGCAGCAACGCCGCGUGAGGGAUGACGGCCUUCGGGUUGUAAACCUCUUUUAGCAGGGAAGAAGCGAGAGUGACGGUACCUGCAGAAAAAGCGCCGGCUAACUACGUGCCAGCAGCCGCGGUAAUACGUAGGGCGCAAGCGUUAUCCGGAAUUAUUGGGCGUAAAGAGCUCGUAGGCGGUUUGUCGCGUCUGCUGUGAAAACUGGAGGCUCAACCUCCAGCCUGCAGUGGGUACGGGCAGACUAGAGUGCGGUAGGGGAGAUUGGAAUUCCUGGUGUAGCGGUGGAAUGCGCAGAUAUCAGGAGGAACACCG